rnacentral:sRNA from 2 species
UUGUAUCACUCGUCCACUCCGGUUCUGACGCGCCGCCCACACCCACCUAACGGCUGCUCGCCACGUUUUGUCGGCC